CUAGUAACUAUUGCAGAAGAACCCGUUUUUAAUUAAUCAUGUACUCUGCUGUUACUGCAAUUAAUUUGUUUGCAUAAGAAAUGUAUGGCAAACAGGUAGGAUCACAGGAAGCUGUUGAUCUGCGCCAUGGACAGUCUGUUGCCACAGAACACAGCUAUUCAUUAGCCUAAAAUAGAAGCAAUCCAUGAUCCAUUUUAACAUAAAACAGGAAUAACUUGUUCUGAACACUCAUUCUGAAAACUCUAACUACAAUCUGUUCCUCUCUAUAGAUCAAGGAAUAUGAACAAUCCAGGACAUUUGUUGUUGUGAAUUCAGUUAAUAUGUAGUGAUUCUAGAUGAGUAACCUGGAUAACUUCCAUUGUUGCACCUGCCAGAAGACGAAUUACAUUUGUGGUUUAGGCAUAAUUCACCUAUGUUUCGAUUAAUUAACAUUUUCUGGAUCUCGAUAAGUUCAUCUUUCGAGAUUCUCCACAGAGUUACACAGAAAGUGCCUUUUCUUCAGGGAGCUGCCGUGACCAGUUUUCUGAAGAAAUGAGUGCAACUAAGUUUGUAUAGCUGCAUUGCAUUUUGACUCGUAGUGCUUUUAGCUAUUGUACUUUGUACAUUUGAUAGAUUAUUUGCAGGAUCUUUUGGGAGACCAGCCAUGCUGAAAGAGAUUUCUGAAUAAAUUUGCAACAUGA